AGCUAGUAGAUUCCUGUACUUUCUUUAUCUUAAGUAAAGGCAGUAGUAUAUCUCAUAGAACUUUGGUUCUGAAGGUCUAAAUUUAUCAGAUACCUACCUAUACAGCAUUGCAAAGAAAUACAUGGCUUCUGUUUUUUAACAUGAGUCCAAUUGAGUCUCUCUGAUAUCAAAGUAUGUGGUAAUAAAUACCUUAUCAAAAAUGUAUUUAUCUUAUAAUGGUCUUGUUGUUUAUAACACUAUGCUAGUUGUUGCUAGAAUGUGGCCGGAUCUCUGGGAACUUGCGCUGGAUCUAAAGCAGCCCACACUCCUCCCAGUCAGGCAAAAGACACAGACAAUCCAGAAGAUGUGUGAGACUCCUUAUACAAUAUGAACACAGGUUAGGCAUUUUGUGAAGGUCAUUGACCUCUGUGUUGUGAAAUUCAAUGGACAUUUUUUCAGUUCUCAUUUGCUUUGAUCUCUUAGCAGCUCUCACUGCCUCCUCCUUAAAAGGCCCUCUUUCCUUGGCGUUUAGUAACAUCAUGCUCACACCGGGUUUUUCUUUUUCCAACUCUUUCAGGGACUCUCGCCGGGUUGUACCCAGCAUUUAAGUUCUGUAAUUCUUUGAACAGUCAGGUUCAAGACACUGUCAGGACUUCAGCUAGCAUUUAAUGACUCUCACAUUCCCUGUAAAGCAGAGAUCACAAACCGUUAGCCCGUAGUUACACCAUUUUUAAAUUUAAAUACACUUCACCGAGGCACGUUCCUUCUUCCUCUCCCACGGUCCUCUCUCUCUGCAGGCAUCUGUAUUUGCCGUUGUGUCGUUGCUUGAGGCCCCUGCUCCUUCCAGAUUCAGGAUUCCUGCUCCCGAAGUCCUUUCUCUCCUGAAGGAACCCCCUCACUGGCCACCAGAUUCCUCCUCCUCGUCCUCAUCCCCCAAGCAUAGCACAACGGACACAUCCCAGGAAGGGGUUAUCAUGGAGAUCAGAGCUGAGACCCUAGAGAGGCCUUGCCUGGACUGGAAUCCAGAAUCUUCUAUUCACCAGCAGUGGAACAUUUGACAAAUUACUUACUCUGGUCUUCAACUUCCUCAUAUGUAAAAUAGAGGUAAUGACAGUCCCUAUUUCAUAAAGUCAUUUGAGUAUAAAUUAAGGCUAUGCAGGGGAAGCACUUGGUACAGUGAAGCACAGCAUCUAGACGUGCUCACUAAGUGUUUUUCAUCAUUGUCAUCAUCUUUAUUAUUGCAGAUAAUGAAUCUAGACGUUGCUCUCUCUUCCUGUAAUGAAAGAGUGGUGCACAUAACCAGAGCCAGCUCAGAGUAGGGGAGUAACAUGUUUCCUGCCCUCUCCCAGUGGUGUGCUAAUCAACAGUUAACACACAGCUUUGGGCAAGGGUGGGGGAUAGGGAGCCACACUUUGCAGUGUUUACCAGUUUCCACGUUGUAAAUUCUCCCACCAUGGCUGACUGCAAGCUGUCAACCUGAGUUCACUGAAUGCUGACUGCAGAGUUGGGAAGAGUUAUCAGAAUCAGCUCUCAAGUCAUGUGAGCCUGCUCCAGCACACUCAAACGAGAAUUAAUCUUUUUUGCUGCCUCUUUGUUCACUGCUGAAACCAGGAUCUGUUCCCUCUCAGGCAGAGGACCAGGCAUACAUAUCUGAUGUGCUCCUGCCGAGAACACUUCCAAAAGAAGCAACGAAGUCUACAAAAGCACAGUUUGACUCAAGUGGAUCCAACCAAUUUGCAAAUGGAAAAUAACACUGAGGAAUAAGUUUUGCAUCACAAGUGUGGCUGCUUCAAGUCAUCCUUCAUGAAACUAAAGAUAGAAAGUUCUGCCGGCAACAAAACCUGCUCUACAAGCCGGGAGGAAAAAGGACUUAAAGGAAGAGGAAGAACACAUUUUUCAAAAUUCUUUUCAAAAUAUAUGAGGGGGGAAAAUAUAAGAAGCGGAGAAAUAUGCCACUCGACGCAGGAGUCACUCUGGACAAGUGUCUUGGAAUCAAGUCCUAAAGGACAGCCAUCAUGGCAACAAAAGGUGGAUGUAAUCACAAAUAAGGACCUUGGAAGAAUCUCUAAAAUGGUUCCUACAAAGAGUGCAGUUCGGAAAAAUCUAUGCAAAAGAAGAAAGACAAAAGUGGAACCUCAUGGGAGCAGAGAAAAAGCAAAAGGAGGUGGCAGUGGGAACGAGGAUGAGGAUGGAGAGGAGAAGGUGUUAGGCUAAUGUUGUGUGCCUGGUGAUAAAUGAAAAUGUUGAAUUUCCACAGCUUUUCUGAACAGCAACAGGAGAAAAAUGCAGAAAAUAUAAAGCCAAGCUGGGGUAGGUCCUAUGCAGUGAGCUCUUUGGGGUCCCUAGCAGAGACAUAGAUUUCAGUCUGUUCAUAGUUAUCCA